UACGGGGGGGGCAAGCGUUGUUCGGAAUUACUGGGCGUAAAGGGCUCGUAGGCGGCCAACUAAGUCAGACGUGAAAUCCCUCGGCUUAACCGGGGAACUGCGUCUGAUACUGGAUGGCUUGAGUGUAGGAGAGGGAUGCGGAAUUCCAGGUGUAGCGGUGAAAUGCGUAGAUAUCGGGAGGAACACCAGUGGCGAAGGCGACUACCUGGCCUGUUCUUGACGCUGAGGCGCGAAAGCUAGGGGAGCAAACGGG
rnacentral:rRNA from 1 species